rnacentral:tRNA from 1 species
AGAAUUGGGUAGGAAGCGGUUAUUAAACAAAACGUAAAAUUGUCGGUGUCAACGAAUAUGGGCUUAUAGCUCAGUUGGAAGAGCGCGGCGUUUGCAACGCCGAGGCCAGGGGUUCAAAUCCCCUUAAGUCCAUUGCCUGGUAUUCAGAAUAGAAUCUAUUAUUUCUGAAAUGCCAGGCUUCAUGCACCCGGAGACGUGAGUCAUCGGGGAAGGGCCGAGAGUCUACCCGACUCUUUGAGGCUGUGUAAAGGUGUGCACAUAGGACGUUAAAUGAGUUUUAACGGACACAAUCAAAAAAGACAAGC